rnacentral:rRNA from 1 species
CGGAGGAGCUAGCGUUGUUCGGAAUUACUGGGCGUAAAGCGCGCGUAGGCGGCUUUGUAAGUUAGAGGUGAAAGCCCGGAGCUCAACUCCGGAACUGCCUUUAAAAACUGCAUCGCUUGAAACCAGGAGAGGUGAGUGGAAUUCCGAGUGUAGAGGUGAAAUUCGUAGAUAUUCGGAAGAACACCAGUGGCGAAGGCGGCUCACUGGACUGGUAUUGACGCUGAGGUGCGAAAGCGUGGGGGAGCAAACAGGAUUAGAUACCCUGGUAGUCCACGCCGUAAACGAUGAUAACUAGCUGUCAGGGGCCAUGGGCUUUUGGUGGCGCAGCUAACGCAUUAAGUUAUCCGCCUGGGGAGUACGGCCGCAAGGUUA